UACGUAGGGGGCUAGCGUUGUCCGGAAUCAUUGGGCGUAAAGAGCUCGUAGGCGGUUUGUCACGUCGGAUGUGAAAACCCGAGGCUUAACCUCGGGCCUGCAUUCGAUACGGGCUGACUAGAGUUCGGUAGGGGAGACUGGAAUUCCUGGUGUAGCGGUGGAAUGCGCAGAUAUCAGGAGGAACACCGAUGGCGAAGGCAGGUCUCUGGGCCAUUACUGACACUGAGAAGCGAAAGCAUGGGGAGCGAACAGG
rnacentral:rRNA from 1 species